CAACAGGACAGGUACAUAUAUCAUCCAUGAGUAUAUUUGUGAAGGUUUUUAAACAUCAGAGAAGAGGAAUUCUGCAAUAUCACCCUGGUGUGAAUGUUGCGUUGUCACUUGGUUCAUUUGUGACGGCUUGCAAAGGCAGGGAACAGGUCUGCUUGACUCAAGACAUUGCUGCUGCUCCUGCAUUUCAUGGGUUUUAAGAGCAGAAGAGCUCAUCGGACCAUCUGGCUGGAACUCUGCACAGGCCAUAGACCUCACCCAGUUCCUCUCUCCUGAGAGUGUGCCAGCAGCCAGGGCUCACUCAGGACACAAAGUAGACAGUACUGACAGCAGGGACUGGUCGUGACCAGGAUGAAGGAGUGGGCAUCAAGGAAAGCGUGCCCCUUCCCAGCUAGUUCUGCCCACAUUACCUAACCCAGAGGAUGCAGUGUUACCUCCACCUGGGCUCCCAAACACCCUCUGGAUGGAUGGGGCCCUGAGCAUCCUGUUCUAGUACCAGACCUGGAGGUUAGUGGCCCUGCCUGUGUCGGAGGGCUGGAACUUGAUUAUCCUUGGGGUCCCUUCCAACCCAAGCCAUUCUAUGAUUCUAUGAUGACUCUGGUCAACCUUGCCUCGACCCUUCCUAAAGACCCCACUGCUCAACAAGAUGCAGGAACUCACUGUUGCCUUGGGAACGCCUUCAGAACACACAGCACCCUACCUAGGGCACGGCCUGUAGCACCUUGGAGCUCUUUCUUCACACUGCUAAGUUGUUGUUUUCUUAAUCCUAUUCACACUUGACAUGCCUUAUGCCCAUGGCUCCCAGACCCAGCUACGAUAACAAGGUUUGAAGUUUUCUUGCUAAACAUGCCAGACACAGAGCCUGGUGGCCCACUUGGCCAAGGGCUGCUGCUGUUUGGUCCAGUAACGGCUGAAGUGCCUUUUCUGAUGUCUUCCUCACUACGGGGCACUUUCCACAAACCCAGAUCUCCAUUCUCCCUGGCCUUUGCAUGGCCAGGGAGUGCAAAGGAACCUUUGCACUCCCUGGCCAUGCCCCUUGCUCUUCUCUCCCUCAAGCCUUGGCCUUGCGUUGAAGGAUCACAGUGAACCACAGAACCUCAGCGCAAGGCACAGACUCAGCAUCAGCUACAGGAGGGGCACGCACCCAGCCCAAGGCACAGCCACAGCAAAGGCUGGGCGCUGUGCUGCCCGUGGCCAAGAGUGCAGCAUAGGAAGGACCCAGGAAUGAGGGAGGCGAAAGUAGUACGG
ensembl:lncRNA